rnacentral:rRNA from 1 species
GAUGAACGCUAGCUACAGGCUUAACACAUGCAAGUCGAGGGGCAGCAUGGUCUUAGCUUGCUAAGGCCGAUGGCGACCGGCGCACGGGUGAGUAACACGUAUCCAACCUGCCGUCUACUCUUGGACAGCCUUCUGAAAGGAAGAUUAAUACAAGAUGGCAUCAUGAGUUCACAUGUUCACAUGAUUAAAGAUUUAUCGGUGUACGAUGGGGAUGCGUUCCAUUAGGUAGUAGGCGGGGUAACGGCCCACCUAGCCAACGAUGGAUAGGGGUUCUGAGAGGAAGGUCCCCCACAUUGGAACUGAGACACGGUCCAA